rnacentral:rRNA from 1 species
GAUGAACGCUGGCGGCGUGCCUAAUACAUGCAAGUCGAGCGAACAGAUAAUGAGCUUGCUCCUUUCACGUUAGCGGCGGACGGGUGAGUAACACGUGGGUCACCUACCUAUCUGACUGGGAUAACUUCGGGAAACCGGAGCUAAUCCCGGAUAAUAUUUCGAACCGCAUGGUUCGAUAGUGAAAGAUGGUUUUGCUGUCACUUAUAGAUGGACCCGCGCCGUAUUAGCUGGUUGGUAAGGUAACGGCUUACCAAGGCGACGAUACGUAGCCGACCUGAGAGGGUGAUCGGCCACACUGGAACUGAGACACGGUCCAGACUCCUACGGGAGGCAGCAGUAGGGAAUCUUCCGCAAUGGGCGAAAGCCUGACGGAGCAACGCCGCGUGAGUGAUGAAGGUCUUCGGAUCGUAAAACUCUGUUAUUAGGGAAGAACAUACGUGUAAGUAACUGUGCACGUCUUGACGGUACCUAAUCAGAAAGCCACGGCUAACUACGUG